GCUUACGGCCAUUCCACCCUGUCUGCGUCCGAUCUUUUCUGAUUUCGGAUGCUAAGCAGUGUUGGCCUGGUUAAUACUUGGAUGGGAGACCGCCUGGGAAUACCAGGUGCUGUAAGCU
rnacentral:rRNA from 1 species